ACUAGAACUAACAGGAUUCCCCUAGUAACUGCGAGUGAAGCGGGAAAAGCUCAAAUUUAAAAUCUGGCGGUCUUUGGUCGUCCGAGUUGUAGUCUGGAGAAGUGCUUUCCGCGCUGGACCGUGUAUAAGUCUCUUGGAACAGAGCGUCAUAGAGGGUGAGAAUCCCGUCUUUGACACGGACUACCAGUGCUUUGUGAUGCGCUCUCAAAGAGUCGAGUUGUUUGGGAAUGCAGCUCAAAAUGGGUGGUGAAUUCCAUCUAAAGCUAAAUAUUGGCGAGAGACCGAUAGCGAACAAGUACCGUGAGGGAAAGAUGAAAAGCACUUUGGAAAGAGAGUUAAACAGUACGUGAAAUUGCUGAAAGGGAAACGCUUGAAGUCAGUCGCGUUGUCUGGGACUCAGCCUUGCUUUUGCUUGGUGCACUUUCCGGAUGACGGGCCAGCAUCGAUUUUGACCGUCGGAAAAGGGCUAGGGUAAUGUGGCACCUCCGGGUGUGUUAUAGACUUUAGUCGCAUACGGCGGUCGGGAUCGAGGAACGCAGCGCGCCGUAAGGCAGGGGUUCGCCCACUUUCGCGCUUAGGAUGCUGGCGUAAUGGCUUUAAACGACCCGUCUUGAAACACGGACCAAGGAGUCUAACAUACCUGCGAGUGUUUGGGUGGAAAACCCGAGCGCGUAAUGAAAGUGAAAGUUGAGACCUCUGUCGUGGAGGGCAUCGACGCCCGGACCUGACGUUCUCUGACGGAUCCGCGGUAGAGCAUGUAUGUUGGGACCCGAAAGAUGGUGAACUAUGCCUGAAUAGGGUGAAGCCAGAGGAAACUCUGGUGGAGGCUCGUAGCGAUUCUGACGUGCAAAUCGAUCGUCAAAUUUGGGUAUAGGGGCGAAAGACUAAUCGACCCCUCUAGGG
rnacentral:rRNA from 1 species